rnacentral:rRNA from 1 species
AGUUAACGUUGGCGGCGUGCCUAACACAUGCAAGUCGAACGCGCCGUAGCAAUACGGUGAGUGGCGAACGGGUGAGUAACACGUGGGUAAUCUUCCUUCAAGUGGGGAAUAAGCUCUCGAAAGGGAGUCUAAUACCGCAUGACGUUCCGGGACAUAAGUCCCGUAAUUAAAGCCGCAAGGCGCUUGAAGAUGAGCCUGCGUCCUAUUAGCUAGUUGGUAGGGUAACGGCCUACCAAGGCUGAGAUGGGUAGCCGGCCUGAGAGGGUGAACGGCCACACUGGAACUGAGACACGGUCCAGACUCCUACGGGAGGCAG